CUAGCGACUUCAGAGUUUGAUCCUGGCUCAGGACGAACGCUGGCGGCAUGCCUAACACAUGCAAGUCGAACGGAGAACUCCUUCGGGGGUUCUUAGUGGCGAACGGGUGAGUAACGCGUAGGCAACCUGCCCUUUGGAUGGGGACAACAUUCCGAAAGGAGUGCUAAUACCGAAUGUGACGAUUUUACCGCAUGGUUUAAUCGUGAAAGAUGGCCUCUACAUGUAAGCUAUCGCCAAAGGAUGGGCCUGCGUCUGAUUAGCUAGUUGGUGGGGUAACGGCUCACCAAGGCGACGAUCAGUAGCCGGUCUGAGAGGAUGAACGGCCACAUUGGGACUGAGACACGGCCCAG
rnacentral:rRNA from 1 species